GUCUUUGAACGCAAGUUGCGCCCGAAGCCAUUAGGCCGAGGGCACGUCUGCCUGGGCGUCACGCAUCGCGUCGCCCCCCUCCAGCGCACGGCGCUCGCGAGGGGGGCGGAGAUUGGCCUCCCGUGCGCCCACGUCGCGCGCGGCCGGCCCAAAUGCGAUCCCUCGGCGACGCACGUCACGACCAGUGGUGGUUGAACAACGCUCAACUCUCGUGCUGUCGUGCGGCACCGCGUCGUCCGUUCGGGCAUCACCAACGACCCAAGGGCGUGUGCACGCACGCCUUCGACCGCGACCCCAGGUCAGGCGGGAUCACCCGCUGAGUUUAAGCAUAUCAAUAAGCGGAGGAAAAGAAACUUACGAGGAUUCCCCUAGUAACGGCGAGCGAACCGGGAAUAGCCCA
rnacentral:rRNA from 1 species